rnacentral:rRNA from 1 species
AAACCGAGGCUAAUACCGCAUAAUACCCACGGGUCAAAGGAGCAAUUCGCUUGAGGAGGAGGUCGCGGCCCGAUUAGUUAGUUGGCGGGGUAAUGGCCCCACCAAGACGGUGAUCGGUAUCCGGCCUGAGAGGGCGCACGGACACACUGGAACUGAAACACGGUCCAGACUCCUACGGGAGGCAGCAGUGGGGAAUUUUGCGCAAUGGGGGAAACCCUGACGCAGCAACGCCGCGUGGAGGAUGAAGUCUCUUGGGACGUAAACUCCUUUCGAUCGGGACGAUUAUGACGGUACCGGAAGAAGAAGCCCCGGCUAACUUCGUG